CUGUAAGUUGCUGCCCCAGUACCAAAGGUGAUAACAUCUCCAUCACUGAGAAUCCUCUCCUUGUUAGGUAGCUCAUGGACUUUGUCUUUUGUCCCGGGGUCAGUUUUGAUAAAAGUGCCAUACUUUGAACAAUCUUUGACACGGAUAACAAAUGAGGUGUCGGGAGAUUUAUUCCUGCGAGAGGUUGAGGCAACUGUUGCGUCGAAAGUUAACUCUGCGUGGAUCCUAGACACUCCCUUAUCCUUAUUGAUAAUGAUGUCACAUCCUAUACAAUAAACAACACCAUAGUCACAUAUUUAUAUCAAACAAGGAACAAGAAAGAGGAUUAAAGUUAUGUAAGAAUACCUUUGCGACCAAUCUUGUAAUUCAGAAUCCAAAGGCUUUCUAAUACCUUUCUAAAUCGCUUGAAGUCAACCACUCCUGUAGACCGGACAUCUCUUAUUGACCGCAGAUCCCUAACAAUGAGAUGUUGAGUGUAGAUAACCUCCGAGUUGCCACAUUCAGGCUCAUCGUUACGAUCCCUUUUGAUUGUCGUCACAUCAUUGUAGUCUUUCAUUUCGGUAUCUGCCGUCAAGUUGACGCUUUUAAACUCAUUCAAAUUCAUAGUUUCUUCCACUAUCGCAACAGGACUCUCCUCUAUCACGAUAGCAGCAUCAGGCUUCUCUGGUGUUUCCGCCUUCUCGGUGGCGUCGAUCAUAUGAACUGACGAUGUUGUUUCUUCCUCUUCGACAUCAGAGUCUGCUACCACUGUCUCAUCCGUGGAGCAUGACGAUGAAAUUACAACUACAAACAGUAAAAUGUUUCAAGAUAAGAGUUCAGAGAUUUAUAUAAUCUAAACAAAAGCAAAUAUGUUUGGCUUUGUGUGUGUGUACUCACCAGAAGGUGGUAUCAACGAAGUCGAAGGUAGAGUUCCAGACAAGACAGAGCUUAUUAAGUCCAUCUCGUUCACUCUAGAUAACAGACUGAGAUGCUUCAAACGGGCAAACUUGUCUCCUGAGCUUAUUGGGAUGACACAUAUCAUCCGAUUAGCUUCUCCAUACUGAGAUUCCUGUAAAAGUUGAUUAUGGUUUUGUUAUGGCUACUUACAGAAAGACCAAAUGAGCCAAAAUAAUAUAAAAGCACACAAACCUGACUCAUGGAGCUAAUCUCUGCUACGGCAACAGUCUCUGCGCCACAUAGUUUGAGUAAAGAUGAGAAGCUGCUACCAAACCUGUACUGCAUAAGGGAAACAAAGAGCGAAAGAAUAGGUAAAUGCAUGUUCAUCAAUGACUAUUUUAAGCACUUAAGAGAUUAUUAUACGGUGUCUGUUGGUUCCAACACAAAGGUGAAUCCUUGUAGACAUUUUUCACGGACGUUUGGUUCCAUUACAUCCACCAAAGCUUCUUCCACCAUCACUGAUGGUCUGUACCUGUAUUUAUAAAUUAGCAUGUCAGUAACUGCAGAGUUUGUUCUGUAACUACAUAAAAGCAUUGAGACAAUACUCACUGACUGUUUCCAGGAAACUCGCUGCGGAUACUUUUCUCUCCAAGAAGCUACAAAACAAAACCACUGAAAGUUAUAGAACCCAUUAAUAAACCAACAAAGAGGGGUGAGAAAGGUAUUCUCUGACAUACCUUAACCCAAUUCGUCAAAAUGAUGGGUUUUUGGGCUAAAACUGCAUUGAGUAGAGCUUCAUUCACUUGCAUAUGCGGCUCAACAAGAACAUGUGUGCACUCCUCACUCAAUGUAGGAGCAAUACGAGCACCUAAGUAAUCAACAUAGUUAAGUAUACAACUACAAGAACCAAGUUUACUUGCAUAACGUUUGUCACUAACCAAUUGCUGAAACAGCAUCUUGUACCGAACGAUCCACCUUAAAGGUCUCAGAGGAAGGGCAGAAGUAAAACACCAGCGGAAUCAAAGACAACCUGCAUUGAUUUUUAUUUGAAACAAAACAGAUUAAGCCAUAUUAUUAUACAAGUUAAAAACAAAAUAUCAGAUUGAGUGAGUAGCUAGUAAUACCUGUAAGUUGCUGCCCCAGUACCAAAGGUGAUAACAUCUCCAUCACUGAGAAUCCUCUCCUUGUUAGGUAGCUCAUGGACUUUGUCUUUUGUCCCGGGGUCAGUUUUGAUAAAAGUGCCAUACUUUGAACAAUCUUUGACACGGAUAACAAAUGAGGUGUCGGGAGAUUUAUUCCUGCGAGAGGUUGAGGCAACUGUUGCGUCGAAAGUUAACUCUGCGUGGAUCCUAGACACUCCCUUAUCCUUAUUGAUAAUGAUGUCACAUCCUAUACAAUAAACAACACCAUAGUCACAGAUUUA
rnacentral:lncRNA from 1 species